AAGGUAAACAGGGUAAAGUUUUACAUCGUGCCUUACUCAUGUUACAGAUGAUGAAGCCCAGAAUGGUGCCACAGACAGCUGUGUGACCUCAUCACCUCACACAGGUCAACAUUUUGAGACCAAAGAUGAUGCAACCCAGAAUGGUGCCACAGACAGCUGUGUGACCUCAUCACCUCACACAGGUCAACAUUUUGAGACCAAAGAUGAUGCAGCCCAGAAUGGUGCCACAGACAGCUGUGUGACCUCAUCACCUCACACGGGUCAACAUUUUGAGACCAAAGAUGGUGCAGCCCCGAAUGAUGCCACAACCAGCUUUGAGAAUGACAGUGUAGGGGAGAAUGAGCUCCACCUUCAGGUUCAGCAGCUGUUACAAGAUAGAACAUCAUUACAAAGAAUAGUUGCAGAAAGAGAAGCGAAGAUAGUUGUUCUUCACAAGGCAAAAAUGAAGAAGGAAAAGGAGUUGAAUGCUAUGGAAAAGGAAAUAGGAAAACUACAAGACAGCUUACGGUGUUCUCAGGACAAAAUAUGCAUAGCCAAGAAGAAUCUUAGCCAAAUGUUCUCACGCUCACAAAUUGAUCAUAUAUUUGCUGAGAAAAAUAUUACUAAUUGGAGUGAGGACGAUAUCAGCCGAGCACUAACUCUGAAAAGUUUAAGCCCAAAAGCUUACUUUUUUCUAAGAGAAAAAUGGAACUUUCCCCUGCCAUCUAAGUCAACAUUAAAUCGACAUGCCAGGAAAAUGGAUGCGGAACCAGGAAUUUUAUUAGCUAUUAUGAAUUUACUUAAAUUCAAAGCAGAGGCUAUGCCAGAGCGAGACCGAGUUUGUGCUCUAUCUUUUGAUGAAUGUAGCAUCUCAAAGGAAUGGUCAUAUGACAAGG